rnacentral:rRNA from 1 species
UACAGAGGGUGCGAGCGUUAAUCGGAAUUACUGGGCGUAAAGGGCGCGUAGGCGGUUGCUCAAGUGAGAUGUGAAAUCCCCGGGCUUAACCUGGGAACUGCAUCUUAGACUGGGCGACUGGAGUACUGUAGAGGAUAGUGGAAUUUCCGGUGUAGCGGUGAAAUGCGUAGAGAUCGGAAGGAACACCAGUGGCGAAGGCGACUGUCUGGACAGAUACUGACGCUGAGGCGCGAAAGCGUGGGGAGCGAACAGG